UGUCCAGGGGCGGGAAUCGAACCCACACCCUUCUGCUUACCGGGCAGGUGCCUUGUCCACUCGUUUUACAAUCAUCAGCCGC